GAUGAACGCUGGCGGCGUGCCUAAUACAUGCAAGUCGAGCGAACAGACGAGGAGCUUGCUCCUCUGACGUUAGCGGCGGACGGGUGAGUAACACGUGGAUAACCUACCUAUAAGACUGGGAUAACUUCGGGAAACCGGAGCUAAUACCGGAUAAUAUAUUGAACCGCAUGGUUCAAUAGUGAAAGACGGUUUUGCUGUCUCUUAUAGAUGGAUCCGCGCCGCAUUAGCUAGUUGGUAAGGUAACGGCUUACCAAGGCAACGAUGCGUAGCCGACCUGAGAGGGUGAUCGGCCACACUGGAACUGAGACACGGUCCAGACUCCUACGGGAGGCAGCAGUAGGGAAUCUUGCGCAAUGGGCGAAAGCCUGACGGAGCAACGCCGCGUGAGUGAUGAAGGUCUUCGGACCGUAAAACUCUGUUAUUAGGGAAGAAAAGAUGUGUAAGUAACUAUGCACGUCUUGACGGUACCUAAACAGAAAGCCACGGCUAACUACGUG
rnacentral:rRNA from 1 species